UACAGAGGUCUCAAGCGUUGUUCGGAUUCAUUGGGCGUAAAGGGCGCGUAGGCGGGCGGUUUUGUCGGCGGUGAAAUCCUUCAGCUUAACUGGAGAAUGGCCGCCGAAACGGAUCGCCUCGAGGGAGGUAGGGGCAUGUGGAACUUCCGGUGGAGCGGUGAAAUGCGUAGAUAUCGGAAGGAACGCCGGUGGCGAAGGCGGCUGCCUGGCCCAAUACUGACACUCAGGUGCGACAGCGUGGGGAGCAAACAGG
rnacentral:rRNA from 1 species